GCGGCCUUCUCUCCCCGGCGCUUGAGGUACAGCAGCGGCUGCGGCACUUCUCGGCCCAGCCGGAUCCGGUGCAGGUCGCCGGCAUCACGCGCCGCGUGCCGUGAUUCUGGAUCGGGCGCAGAUCUUGCCACCUAUCCUCCUCUCUCUCUCCCAUGUCGCCAUUGUUGCAAGGAGCAGGGGAGAUAGGUGCCGAGGACAAGAAGCAACGAGUUGGUCAGGGUGGGCUUGACCUGCUGGGAAGAUGGAGGAGGCCGUCGUGGUUCGUCAUGGAGGCGGCGCCGCCGGCAAGCUGGUUGAGCACAGAGGAAUGAGGAAUGGAUACAUGAGGCAUGGCGUAAGCGUAGGGGUCAGCCAGGGCACGACGCAAGAGUCUGCCCAUCUCCUCUCAAACCGCUGGAACUGAUGGAUAUUGACAUGGGUAACAAAAUAGUUGAAAGAUUUUGUACCGACGAGGCUCUUGAGACUACAAACAUUUCUUCACUCCUUGUACGAAAGGAUUCUAGGACUAAGUUGUAGGAUUUUAUAUUUUAGUCGGAUAUUCCUUCUGUUAAUAUGUGCUCCUGUGCAAUUUUUCAUAGGCUUCUCUUUCCUUUUUCUGGUUACGAUUUACAAAGCUGAGCAAUAGUUUCUCUACUAAUAUAGCUUGUG